UACGAAGGGGGCUAGCGUUGCUCGGAAUUACUGGGCGUAAAGGGCGCGUAGGCGGACAGUUUAGUCAGAGGUGAAAGCCCAGGGCUUAACCUUGGAAUUGCCUUUGAUACUGGCUGGCUUGAGUUCGGGAGAGGUGAGUGGAAUUCCGAGUGUAGAGGUGAAAUUCGUAGAUAUUCGGCGGAACACCAGUGGCGAAGGCGACUCACUGGACCGAUACUGACGCUGAGGCGCGAAAGCGUGGGGAGCAAACAGG
rnacentral:rRNA from 1 species